rnacentral:rRNA from 1 species
AUGAACGCUGGCGGCGUGCUUAACACAUGCAAGUCGAACGGUGAAGGAGAGCUUGCUCUCCGGAUCAGUGGCGAACGGGUGAGUAACACGUGAGCAAUCUGCCCCUGACUCUGGGAUAAGCGUUGGAAACGACGUCUAAUACCGGAUACGAGCUGCGAAGGCAUCUUCAGCAGCUGGAAAGAACUUCGGUCAGGGAUGAGCUCGCGGCCUAUCAGCUAGUUGGUGAGGUAAUGGCUCACCAAGGCGUCGACGGGUAGCCG